GAGCCCAUGGAAACAACAAAACGUAAAGGCUCAGGCCCACUUAAGGUAACAAGACUGCCGUCGCCCAGCACGGGGGGCAAGAAUCACGCUCCGCCUCGCCCGACCCCGGUCGGGCAUCCCGGGGUCAGGCAUCCCCGACCUCCGGAAGACCAAGAUCCGCCUUGCCCGACCGCAGGUCUGGGGUCGGGAGCGUCCGACCCCCCGCCGCAGGUCUCCGCCUCCCCCGACCCCAAGCGUAGGGGGUCGGGCUGACCUGGGCCCACCAGACAAGUAUCCGC
rnacentral:lncRNA from 1 species